AAAGCAAGAAGCAAAGGAAGGGAUAAGCAAAACAAAGAAGAUGGAAAAGGAAAGAAAGGAAGGUAAGGAAAAACAAAGGAAAGAACAAAAAGAAAAAAGAAAAAAGAGGAAAGGAAAGGAAAGGCGAGGAAAUAGGGAGGGGAGAGAGGAGGGUACGUACAGGACUCUUGAGAAACUGAGACACCCCUGCCCCAUGGGAUUUAAAACCUUGGUGCAUAUGUUUAAUAUCAAUUGUUCAAAUUUUACUACUUAAUAAGACUAUCUUGAGAUGCUUGCUCUUUGGAACCCCUACUAAACAACUAAAGUCAAUCA
rnacentral:lncRNA from 1 species